GAAAAGCCCCCACCAUCACCUCCAUCCUCACCAAUUGACUUGUCUAUUGGACCAAAGCAUUCACCAGCUACCAGAUCCUCUCCCCUCUCUUCAAUGAAAAUGCCUCCUUACUCUCCUGUGUCCCACACCACUACAAUGGUGACAGAAGUACCGACUCAUACCACAGAUGCAGCGCAUAGCUAUAUCAAAAGUGCCUGGGAUGGAAACGACAGUUAUGUACUGCUGUCCAGAGUGGGACCCUACAAAUUAUUUUUCAAAGAUCUGCAGAUUGGCCCUGGGAAGGAGUUGGAGAGUGAGGUUAUAAAUGCAUACCUGUCACUGAAGGUGAGGCAGCACAAUAUCACCUCUCCGGGCAAAGCAUACCACAUGGACACAUUUGCCAUGACAGACAUGUGGAAGGGAAAACAUGAGAAGCUCAAGUUGGACCCAGCAAACUAUGAGCUAAUAGUGGGCGUUGUAAAUGAGCGCAACCACUGGUUCCUGGUUGCAAGUAUUUGUGGUAGGCCUAUAGAACAUUUAACAUUGGCUUAAUGUUGAUUUGCUCUAAAAUCGUGUUGUCUGGAUAUUUUUCCACACAACCUAGGCCAUUUACCCAUCCGAACAAAAAAAAAAACAUUCUACUUGACUCACUUGGAGAGUCACGCAUCAAGAAGAAAAAGUGUUUGGAGGCAACAAGAGCCCUGAUGAUGGCAAAAGGUGUCUCAGUUUCACACUGGGUUUGUGAAAGCCUGCCUCACCCACUUCAGAGGGACACUAUUUCAUGUGGCGUGUUUGCUUUGAAGUUUGCAGAACACAUUCUGCAAAAUUCUACAAUAAACUUCUCCAGUGAGCCACAAGACAUAACACGGUUCAGAAUGGAGAUUGCUUUAACACUGCUACACCAAUCUGAUGACCUAAGUGAACUCUGCCACUUUUGUGGAGAGGCAGAAACAUUUGAAGACACUGGAGGAGAGACUGAAACAUUUGAAGACUCUGAAGUUCUUUGGGUAAGAGCAUUUUUGGUUUGUAGUGCAAGUCAAGUAAUAUGAAUGGACCAUUGCUUUAAAACUGUUUGUUUCUUAUGUUGACAGAUUGCUUGUGACUACUGCGGGCGGUGGUUCCACUUAAAAUGUGUGGGCAAUCCAUCUACAGAGAAGGAAUACAAAUGUGUUUCUUGCAAUAAAUGACUCAGUUAUGAAGCCUUUUGUUUUUUUUUUUGUUUUUUUUCCCCCUCAAUUUUCACUUUGGGUAAACUCUUUUCUUUUAUAAAAUUUGCCAUUUAAAAUCACCUGUGAACUACCUGUGGUUCAAAUAGGCCUGCAAUGGAGGCUUCUGUACUAACCAAAGCCUUAAUAAACAUGGCAUUAAAAUCUGUAGUGCAUUUUAAAUUGGAAAAGGAAUAAAGAUUUGAAGAGGAAAAAAAAAAAAAAAAAAAAAAACCUUCGA